GGUCUUCGGGGCGGGGUGCAAGUCCCCACCGGCGGUAUAGUCCGCGAGCCCGGGUUUCCGGGCAGGAACCGGCGCAAUUCCGGUACCGACAGUCACAGUCUGGAUGAGAGAAGGCG
rnacentral:ncRNA from 1 species